rnacentral:lncRNA from 1 species
AGAGCGGGAGCCACACUCAACGUCUCCACCACACGGUACGCGCAGACGCCAGCCCACAUUGCAGCCUUUGGGGGACAUCCUCAGUGCCUGGUCUGGCUGAUUCAAGCAGGAGCCAACAUUAACAAACCGGAUUGUGAGGGUGAAACUCCCAUUCACAAGGCAGCUCGCUCUGGGAGCCUAGAAUGCAUCAGUGCCCUUGUGGCGAAUGGGGCUCACGUCGAUAACCCCAAGAAAGGCAUCAGGGUUCUGGAGUGGUUGUUUGAGUGACACAGCACAAGGCCUUGAUUUCAUCAUGCUUUUGCUGUGGAUGUAGUGUAGCUUGCUGAACAGGUUUAUUUCACAGAGCAGUGUACAUUCUUGUCUUCCAGGGGAACUUCAACAUGGAGUUACUUUUGAUCCCUCAGUUUUAAUUCAGUGUCUAAAGCCUGAGAAAUGCCAGUGGCCUGACAGCAGCAGACAUUGCACAAACCCAGGGUUUCCAAGAGUGUGCCCAGUUUCUCUUGAACCUCCAGAAUUGUCAUCUGAACCAUUUCUAUAACAAUGGCAUCUUAAAUGGGGGUCAUCAGAAUGUAUUUCCUAAUCAUAUUAGUGUGGGAACAAAUCGAAAGAGAUGCUUGGAAGACUCAGAAGACUUUGGAGUAAAGAAAGCUAGAACUGAAGCUCAAAGCUUGGAUUCUGCCGUGCCACUCACGAAUGGCGACACAGAAGACGAUGCUGACAAAAUGCACGUUGAUAGGGAGUUUGC